AAUCUAAUUAGUACACGUAUGCAAUGAAAGUAAAAGAGAUAAUGAAAGAAAUAGAAAUAGGGGAUUCAUACUGGUUUGACCUCAAUGCUUACAUCCAUUUCCCUUCCAAUCAACCUUAGAUUGAAGGAUCUUUCACUAUAAUGAUUUGAGUUUUACACCAAAGGUUUUAUAGAGACUCUCUCGAAUGUAGAAAGAUAACACCUG
rnacentral:lncRNA from 1 species